GACGAACGCUGGCGGCGUGCCUAAUACAUGCAAGUCGAGCGCAGGAAAUCGACGGAACCCUUCGGGGGGAAGUCGACGGAAUGAGCGGCGGACGGGUGAGUAACACGUAAAGAACCUGCCCUCAGGUCUGGGAUAACCACGAGAAAUCGGGGCUAAUACCGGAUGGGUCAUCGGACCGCAUGGUCCGAGGAUGAAAGGCGCUUCGGCGUCGCCUGGGGAUGGCUUUGCGGUGCAUUAGCUAGUUGGUGGGGUAAUGGCCCACCAAGGCGACGAUGCAUAGCCGACCUGAGAGGGUGAGCGGCCACACUGGGACUGAGACACGGCCCAGACUCCUACGGGAGGCAGCAGUAGGGAAUCUUCCACAAUGGACGAAAGUCUGAUGGAGCAACGCCGCGUGAUCGAUGAAGGCCUUCGGGUCGUAAAGUUCUGUUGUAAGGGAAGAACAAGUGCCGCAGGCAAUGGCGGCACCUUGACGGUACCUUGCGAGAAAGCCACGGCUAACUACGUGCCAGCCGCCGCUGUAA
rnacentral:rRNA from 1 species